UUUCUGAAAAUACCUAGGUUGGACCUAUUAGAAAUACACUCCUCAUUUUACAAAUGUGGAUGUACUGGUUAAAUUACUAUGCAUUGCUGAAGUUUAAAAUCUUAUAUAUUCCAGUAUGCUUUCCAUGAUAUUUCAAUCUAUUGGUAAUAAGGUAUGUAUGCAUUUAUUUCAGUGUCUUGAAGUAUUCUGAAUGCAUUAUGUUUG